rnacentral:rRNA from 1 species
ACCAUAGCGAGUUGGAACCACCCCUUCCCAUCCCGAACAGGACCGUGAAACAACUCCGCGCCGAUGAUAGUGCGGAUACCCGUGUGAAAGUAGGUCAUCGCCAGGC